ensembl:misc_RNA Metazoa_SRP Metazoan signal recognition particle RNA
UCUGGGUGUGGUGGUGCCCACCUGUAGUCCCAGCUGCUCGGGAGGCUGAGGCAGGAGGAUCGCUUGAGCCCAGGAGGUCUGCAGUGAGCCGUGAUUGCACCACUGCACUCCAGCCUGGGUGACAGAGUGAGACCUUGUCUCUA